UCUAUGAAAAACAAAAGAAAAUAUUAGACGACCACGAAAGCCGUUUGGUCGUCGGUGGUGCAUGGCGUCUCUUCUCUUUCUCUCCCUCAGGGCUUCUUCUCAGUUUUCCUCUUUAGAAGCCACUUCUAAUCUAGGGUUUUUUAGGUGCGACUGCUCUCUUGAUGGGAUCGAGGACGAUUAAGGUCUUGGUUGCUGUCAAUUCUGCUAGUCAGGGCAGAUUCCAGUGAAGAACAUCCGAAUUAUCGUUCAUGAGGAUGUUGGGUGUUUCGAUCUAAGAGUUUGAGGAUUUCUUUCUGUUUUCUGUUCGAUCAACGGCGACUUCUCCAUUUCUUACGGAGGAUCAGACGGAUGAAGAUUUCUUUGACACGCUUGAGUAUGACUAGUUCCGGAUCCAUGGUUCUUCUGCAGACGAUUCAGAUGGGAUCAACCAUGGGCCCCCUGCUGACACUUCUCUAGCUAACCUUUGCUUGAGUGAAUCGGAGAACCAAUCACGUUUCUUGAGCUAGCAGGCUUUCCAUUGCUUGCUGCUGUUGUUGGGCAUCUUGUGGCUGGUGAAGCAAUGCAGAUGGCAACUAUUUUAGACCAAAGUUAUAGUUCUGAAGAAGGAGAGCGUGGGAACGAAUGGCACAUCCUUCGGCUGGCGGACGGCGGAAUCUUGCGGAAUUAAUUUACAACCUGCUGCAUGGGGAAAAAAUCAGCAGUUCCUUCUUACAGAAGCUAGGGGACUAUGGAAACUGUCUCUCUCACUCUUUGGAGAGAACACCAAAACCCAGUGGUGUUGAAAUCUUUUUAUGCUCUCUCUCUUUGGAUAGAAGGAUUCGAAACAGAAUCCGAUCUUCAAGAAUUUUGGUUCUAGCUUUCGAUCUGUAUGUUGUUAGAUUGAGAGAAGAAAAACAUGGUGUGGGAUUUUCGCGUACAUCAACUACAAUGUACCUAGGGGCAAAAGGUACAUUCUCGCGACCUUUUAGAUGGACUCCAACGACUACAACAUAGGGGUUGCUAUUCGUCUCGCAUAUCCAUCGAUGGCGAUCCCGUCGACCCCAACUCGGAGAGCGGCUCCAUAUUCCCUGCAAAUUAUCGGGUUCCUCUAGUUUUCCGGCAGAAGGUACCCCCGAUUGUCUGGUGGAAGCCGUAUGCAGAGAUUCCUUUUGCAGCUUCUUUGGAAAAGUGCAGCGAUCACCAUCGAAAAUACCUCGCCGACGACACGCGAUCGUCAUAACAAUCUUCUGCCAGAGCCACCGUCAACAAAGAAGUGAUCGUCAUAGCAAUCUUUUGCCGGAGCCACUGUCAACGAAGAAGUGAGGGAGAACGAGGAAGUAAUGGCAUAAUGGUACUGAGUCUCCAAAGCCCGAGUUGUUCAGUAUCUUGUUAGGGUCUCUGUCAAGCCAUCGUCGGAAUUCUGGGUAGCGAUCUAGCUAACGAGGCUCUUCCAGGGGAUGUGUGGAGGUUAGGAUUUUGUUCUUUUGGGGGACUUGGGGAGGAACGGCUUGAGGAUCCAAUCUGCGGUGCGUAGAUCUCUGUUUCUCUCGUGUUCUGGUUCGGCAAUAGAGGGUUUCGGAGCCAUGAUCGGCCGCGAUUUGCUUGGUAUUUAGCUUUCUCUGGUAGAGUUCCUGAUGCAUAAUUUUUUUUAUUCCAUUGAACGUGAUGGAACGCGCCUUGUGAAUCUCUCUCCCGCCUUCCAUGUUCUUGAACUCUUCUUGUAGUGUUUUAGUGGUGAAGCAAGGGCGUUCUCUGCUAGGGUUGCUUCUUAUCUCCUGGCUAGAGUGUAACAGAAAGCAGGGUUCUCUGGAAGAUUCUUGCCUUAUUGUCCGAGGAAGCUUUGUUUCUUCACGGGAUCGACCUCAUGCUUCAGUUGUAUAACAAUUAGUCCUUGAAAUGGAGAUACGUGUUUCUUGGUUCCGAUUGAGUCAGACUUGUGGUUACAAGGGUGUGAUUUUGGUUUAGUUCAAUACUGUCCCUCCCGUUUUUCUCAAUCUCCUGCAUCCAGCUAGCCUCCGAGAGCUUGGCUUUGAUGCUGCUAUUUGGUGUCUAUGGUGUUGUGGAUUCAUAAUCGAUGGUCAUCAUCUAUCUGAUUGUAGAACAAUCUGUGAGAGGCUACUGCAACUGCGCGGCCGCUUCCUAAGCUUCACUUCUUAUCUCUCAGGCCCUAAAAAUCUGUGUCUGUAAGGUGUGGGCCCUUCUUUUCCUCCUCCUCCUUUGAUAUUUUUUUCUGAAGUCAUCGCUUAAGUUUUCUCAUGUUUUUCUUUUUUAAUCCUAUGUUGUGGGAGUGAUGUUGGGCGCUUCUUUUUCGAAUAGUUAGGAUUCUCAUCACCCUUUUCGUUAUUUUGAGGGAAUUUUAUUCGGAGAUGGAGGUCGCUGGGGAUUUCUGCUCUUCGGAGCCUGUUGCUAUCGCAGAUGGCUGCUUCCUUGGUGGUGGAAGUCAUCGCUGUAGAGGCUGUGCUCAUCGCCCAGAAGUCAGUGUACUUCUAGCGGAGCUGAUUGUACUUGAAAAGAAUGGGGAGUAGCUUUUGGUAUCACUAAUUUUGGAUAUUGUGUUAAAUGAAUUGGUUUUUUUUUCUUAUUAAUGAGCAGCAGAGACAAAGGCAACAUGCUUCUCCAAUCAUCAAAAGGUGGUCAGUUUAGAAACAUGGCAUAGAAGAUUAGCUCAUUUCUGAAUAAACAAAACCAGAUUUGUAGUUGAACAUUAUAGAAAGAAAUUUAUCU